GCCUAGCUAGCUCAAUUGGCAGAGCGUGAGACUCUUAAUCUCAAGGUUGGGGGUUCGAGCCCCCCGUUGGGCU
rfam:Lichtheimia corymbifera JMRC:FST:9682, FST 9682, WGS project CBTN01000000 data, contig: SCAF00005